UGGGGAAUAUUGGGCAAUGGGGGAAACCCUGACCCAGCAACGCCGCGUGAAGGAAGAAGGUUUUCGGAUCGUAAACUUCUAUCCUUGGUGAAGAGAAGAAGACGGUAGCCAAGAAGGAAGCCCCGGCUAACUACGUGCCAGCAGCCGCGGUAAUACGUAGGGGGCAAGCGUUGGCCGGAAUGAUUGGGCGUAAAGGGCGCGUAGGCGGCCUGGUAAGUUUGGAGUGAAAGUCCUAUUUUUAAGGUGGGAAUUGCUUUGAAAACUGCUGGGCUUGAGUGCAGGAGAGGUUAGUGGAAUUCCCGGUGUAGCAGUGAAAUGCGUAGAUAUCGAGAGGAACACUCGUGGCGAAGGCGGGUUCCUGGACAUUAACUGACGCUGAGGUAUGAAGGCCAGGGUAGCGAAAG
rnacentral:rRNA from 1 species